UAUUGAAGUUUAAUACUGACGCCGGUAAGU
rnacentral:piRNA from 1 species